rnacentral:rRNA from 1 species
UGUAAGCGUAUACCAAAGUUGUUGCAGUUAAAACGCUCGUAGUCGGAAUUUGGCAGUUCCGGAUGUGUGCACGUCGUGUGCGCACUUCGCGGGGAUUGCUUUUGUGGUCUUGCGUAGGAUGAGGCACUUUUAUUAGUGAACGUCCUCACGCAACCACUUUUUACUGUGAGAAAAUCAGAGUGCUCAAAGCAGGCAUUUGCCGUGAAUGUAUUAGCAUGGACUAAUAGAAUAGGACUUGGUUCUAUUUUGUUGGUUUGUUGGGACUGAGUAAUGAUUAAGAGGGACAGUUGGGGGCAUUUGUAUUUCGGUGCUAGAGGUGAAAUUCUUAGAUUACCGAAAGACAAACUGCUGCGAAAGCGUCUGCCAAGGAUGUUUUCAUUGA